AACGUAGGACGCGAAUGUUAUCCGGAGUUACUGGGCGUAAAGCGCGAGCAGGCGGUUUUGUAAGUUACCUAUGAAAGCUCUCGGCUAAACUGGGAGAGGAUAGGUGAUACUGCGAGACUAGAGUGAGAAAGAGGAAAGUAGAAUUCCGGGUGUAGUGGUGAAAUGCGUAGAUAUCCGGAGGAAUACCAGUGGCGAAGGCGGCUUUCUGGUUCUCAACUGACGCUGAGACGCGAAAGCGUGGGUAGCGAACGGG
rnacentral:rRNA from 1 species